UUUAAGUGCAAGCAUAAGUUUCUGCACCCAAGUCCAUCUUAAUUGAAUUUUUUUAUAACUAGUAUUUUUAUUAUUAUGAGAUGAUAAAACAUGAAUAGUACUUUAUAAGUGACAUAUGUUUUUAAUUUUUUUCAUUUUUUAAAAAAAAAAAUAAAACGUACAGUUAAAGUUGUGCACGAAAAAUCAUGGCUGCACUUAAA
rnacentral:pre_miRNA from 1 species